UUUAAAAUUGCUGUUUUUAUUAUUUUUAUUUGCUACCCAUAGUUUUAUUGUAAGAAAUACAAAAGUUAUGACAAAUAUACAAACCAUUUUCUUUUUGCUCAAAUUUAGCUUGUGCAUAAGUGAAAACAAUGAACUGGACAGUGAUAUUUCAACACCACAAUUCUUAAAAAAAAACAAUGAGUUCCAUUAUCUGACAAUAAAUACCUAAAUUUGCAUUCUAGCACCCUAGAAGUCAUCCAGUUUCCAAAAGAUUCUUGAUCGGUAACCCUCUGAAAUUUCUGACGUGUUACCUUGGCCAUCCCCGCAGAGUCGCCACUGGUAGUUCUCCCUCUCCACACGUUAGAGUGAGGUGAACACAAGAAGAGCUACCCCUGACCUCAGAAACCCUGGGUCAUUAAGCGUCCCUUACUCGAGCUAGUAUGUAAAACAGGUUGCUAGCGAUGGGAAUUUAAUGUAAAUUGUGGUGGUCCUUGGAUUGCAUACUUGAGGGGACACACUUACUCUUCUGUUUUCCUCUUUGGGUGAGAAGAGUAAACUGACCUAUAUUUUCAUCUACCCAAAGCAAGGCCACUCAGCUCAGGGCACCAUGAGGAGGGUAACAUUACAGCUAAGCUUUCUUCCUUUUCUCCUCUUUUCAAGUGUUGUCUUGGGAGGGUUUUCUGCGUGGAUGGUUGGUUGCUUGAGCGAGAUGGCUCUUUCCAUUCUCCUACUGUCUACACCUGAGGUCAUUUUUCUUUGAGGGCUGAAAGAUCCGCAUACGGAGGAAGGCCGCUGGUGUCAGGGAGCUGCACUGCACCCACAUCUGGGGAGAGCACGGGGUUUAGGGACCCUGUGAGGAAGGAUACCCAGGGGAGCCUGACAGACCAGUGUGGUAACAAUCUUGUGUACAGAGAAAAGAGCAGAAGCAAUACCUAACACCAAGCCAUCUGCCAACAUUCCUGUAAGACUGUGUUCCAGGCAGUGCAUUUUCGCACUGCUUCUUUGACCUGCUGAGCCCGAAGCACCAAAACAGAGCAUUCUGAAGCAAUAUGAGCAAACGGAAUGAGAGUAAUUUUGCACCUUUAGGGAACAUGCACCCUUAUAAGUCUGUACCCUGAUAUUAAAAUAGCAGAAUGAGCUUCAAGUAUGAAGAGAUACAGUAAAAGUAUAGCCUGUAGAUGGGUAGAAAACAGCAGCCUGGAAUGUGGUUUAUAUUCUCUGUUAGUUUUUCUCUUUGCACCACAGCCAAACCUGAAUGCUCGGUAGAAUGACUUGGUUUAAACAUCAAGCUAUACGUGAAGAUGCUAGAGGGCAUUGGUGAUGGAUGCCAUGACAUUCUCUGCACCAGGAACCUUCUCUGAUGAGUGCGGCCAGCCAAAGGUCAAGUAGGGGUGGUGGCUAAGCCUGGACAGGCAUACCUGUGAGGCCUAAAGCAUCUCUCAUCAUGUCCCUGACCCCAAAGAACAGCAGAGGAGGAUGGAGAGCACCACGUGGACAGGCCAGGAAGGGGAUGGGGAAGACUUCAGAGGGAGUGAGGGAGGAUAUAGGGGUUGACGGAGUAUCAGUUAGUUAUCCUCGGCUAGUUCACACAGCCUAAGUUAGUAUCUGAAAUGCACAUGCAAAUUCUCUGCCUCUUCAGAACCGUGAUUUCAAACACAGAAAUCAACAAGUCAAAUAUCCCAAUUAAGAUUUUUUUCUACUUUUAAAACAUUUUCUAUUAUAGAAAUAAGUAAAGAAAAUAAGCUAAAAAAAAAAAAAGGCUCACUGACUUCAACAGCCUUGCUGAAAUCUAGAAGUUUUAACUAGGCCCUAUAGGAAUGCAGAAACACUAAUACAUUUUACAGUGAAAACAUGCUUUUACACAUCUCAGAAAUGAUAAUUCUAUAAAGCCCUCUAGUUCUAAUCUGCACUCUACGGGAACUGAUAUUGUGCAUUUCUUAACACAUACUGCUCUUCUAUAUGAAACACUUGCCAUUUAACCUUUAGAUCAAAACAUAAAAUACCAGAAAUGCAACAAGCUUUUGAGGUGUUGGGGACUGUUGGUUAAAAUCCCAUUGUUGCCUACUGUACACGCAAUCCUCGUUUUAAUUACCAGACUAGGUUGCCUCUGUACAAAACCAAAAUGCCUGAAGCAUGGAAACUUGGACUUCUCCAUCUGACACAUUCUGGAAGCCUCAAAGCACAUGCUGACAGUUCUGCUUCUACAGAAAACUCUCACACUGCUCUCCUGUCAACACUACUACUGGUUCCCACUGCUGCACAUCUAUGAGGGCGCUAGAUUGCGUGCGGAAGUUUCUUCUCAAGGCCAGGUAACAAGAGGCACCAGCCAGGCACCUACUUCUGCCUGGCAUCUAUUCUGAUGGCCACCUGGCAGAGUUCCUAAAUUAAGGCAGUAUCUGAUAUUUUGCUGUCUGCGGUUUUAAUUUCUGCUCUAGUUUCACACUAUAGUAAAUGCAUAUUUGACAAAAGAACAAGUCAUUUGCUUUAAUUCCUUUACAUAAUGAUAAAACACCUAGACACAAAAAUACUAUCUCUAUAGACUUAAAUUCUACUAAUCAUGUUAAAAUGCAUGCAGCUUAUUUGGGGGUUUAGUCUAAUUUUAAUUCUCUUAGCUCCAUCGAGACCAUGAUAACGAGCAUUAAAUGCAAAUCCUAAUGCCGUCUGCUUUCUGUGCACUUUCACAGGACUAGUGUGAUUGAGAAAUAAAUAAUAUACAUGAAUAAUAAUAGAAAUAAUUUAUGCAAAUGUAGAACAACUUGAAAUAGAAAUUAUCCACCUUUUAAGUGCUGAUCCUAGGAGUAGUUGAUUCUAUUCAUUCAAUGUAUUAAUAUAUUUAUUACUGAUCAUAAGAAAAUAAAUGAAUACAAAGGAAAUAAAAUAUUCAUGUAUACAUUGUUGCAAACAUAGGAUCAAAAUGAGAAGAUAUAUAAUGCACUUGGGGGGGUAUUCAGGAAAGUGUAUCACUGCUGGGUCUGUUUUCAUCAUUCAGAGACUUCAAGGUCAAAUCUGGAGUUGCUGGUGAUCAAAGAAAUAUUGCUAGCUAAUACAUAUUAUUGCAUUUAAUACAACUUAAGAUUAGAAACUCUCAAGUAAGGGUAUGAAAAGUCUCUUCAGCACUGUAACCUAAGUACUUCAACUGAAUUGCCUGGAAACCAGAGUGAGAAAUGAUGUAACCUAUGAUCUUAUGCUUGCUGAUUAGUGCUACAAUCAUAGUUCUUUAUAGCAUCCUGUAUACCUAUGUGUCCCCUUAAAGAAAAUCUACAUUUGAAAAUCCAAACUCCUAAAAUAGAGAAAAAGUUGAUUGCUUGACAAAACCACUCACACAAAGGGUUCCUCUAAAUAGGAAAGUCUCCCUUCUAUAUGAGAUAACUUGCUCACAUACCUUUAAUUACUUGAUGAAGAAAAAAGAGAAGAAAUUAGAAUCCAAAGAGUUAGGAGCUUUCACCAACUAUGAAGCAGAAAAUAAACACAUUUUCCAAACAAAACUUUUCCAGGCAUAUCUUUUGCCAUCAUAUAUGUAGCAUAGAAAAUAAAAAAAUAAAAAAAAAUCUUUCCUGUAAUUAUACAUCUUCUCUUAAAAAAAAAAAAAAAAAAAAAAAGCAGAGCUUAGAGCUUGAGAGAUGCCUGGUAGCUUCAUACGCAGCAGCAUCUCUUUAUACCCGAACUUUCAGAGAACUGUGUUGUACUUACUUAUGCACAGUAGACACCCGUUUGCUUCUAGGGACAUGUUGCUUCCUAAGAUUGCAGAACAGAUGCCUCUGAGACAGCAGCAGGGCACAGGGACGCCGGACAGUACCUGGCCGGGUCUGCAGCCACUUCAGGCACUAACAGGUGAGCGGAGGGCGGGUUCCUAGCCAGCCCCGCCCACUGCCACUCACUGCCAAGGGGGCGAGGCGUCGGCGCGGCGCACCCCAGGGAUUUGCGGAGGGAGGGCAGUUUUGAACGCGAGCAAAUAAACUGGCCCAAAUGAUAACCCACUCGAGGUUUGAGCCCUAAGAUUUGACAACCCCUAGUGUGCGCGGCACUUUCAGUAUGAAAUUCAGUAUGGCUGAGGCUUGCCUGCUGGCUACUCUGGAGGAAAGUGAAGCAGGCAUAUCGAGUUUCUGCCACUCAGAAGGAAUAAACUGCCUUCUGUUAGGUUGUGCAAAGGAAACUCUGAAAGAUAAUUUCCUUCCUCCUAAAUUUCAGGGACACUAAUUGAAGAAAAUUACUUCUCAAAUUAACUAAAAUCAUCUGGGGAGUAAUGGGUCUUUGAGCAGAUCUGUGAAUUAAAACAAUAAUGUAUGAAAAAAAUACAUUUGUAUCAACUAAAGUUACCAAAGAACUUCAUAAGUGGAGAAAUCAAAGGCUUAUGUAGGUAUAUACUCCUAAAUUAUUAGCUUACAUGCUUAGAGAGAACUUUAAAAAAAAUUAGAAUUUCUCGUGAAUUUAUACUUGUGAUUAUACAAAUAUAAAAAAUUGCCAGGUCUUUUGGUAUUUUUAGGGCAGUUUCAGCAUAGCAAUUCUUUAGAAAAAAAUAGUUUUGUCUAUUUGUUGAUGCAUUAUUUAGUUUAUCCAUCUGAGCUUUAAAUUAAGAUUUUAAAAUUUAGCAAAUGUCUAACGGCCACCAUAGUAGGGAAUGUGAAAGCAGCUGACAGAGGGUAUGGGUAUUUCGGGGGAGGGAGGGUGAUCUGGAGGAGUUUUACACUCCUAACAAAACUAUCUGUUCACAGAUGAGUGUUGCCUUUUGAGUAACAAGCUCAUCUAUCUUUCUAACUUCUGCACCUGUAGAAGUGAGGUAAUUAGGUACCUCAAAAAGUAUAUCUUGAACAGAAGAAUGACUAGGCUCUCUCUCCUUGUGCACCUGAAUAAUCAAAAUGGGUGUAUUAUCCAUGCUCAAGAACAAUUUACUUGAAGGCAAUUGUUCAGAACCUAGCUAACAACUAAAACAUCUAAGUUACCCAGCAUUAUAAAGACUACUCAUCAUCCUGAAAAACGAGCUCUAGGCAAGAGUUAGAUGUGCAGAAAAAUAAAGUCAGAAGCCUUGCUCAGAUUUUCCCCUCCAAAGUGCCACCUUGUGGAAUACACUGGAAUAAAACAAGAAAGGCUAUCCCUUAGGACAGUGUGAAUUUUCAAACAGACAUAAGAAAAAUCCCCUCCCUUUCCUACCAUAUUAACUUCAAAUUGCUGUCCUAGUAUUUAAAUAGAUGCUUGAAAAAAAGUCUGUAUUUACUUUCAGGUGAGUCUUGAUUUUUCUUGCCAGCCAGAGCACCAGUAUCGAGGAAAAUAAAUAUGCUGAUGGAAGUCCAUUCAUUUACCUAAAUUAACUCCCUGGGAAUGCUAAGAAAUAGAAAGCAAUCUGAAAAGCCGACUCAAACUUCAUUUUAAGAAACACAACUAAUUGAGAUAAACAUUUAAAAAAACCAGACCCCCUCCUCUUUCUCCAUUUCUGUUAACAAAGGUCAGAAGAUGGCAAAGACCAAAGGAACAUUUUUGGUUUGUUUUCUGAAAAAAGUACAAGUUAGAAAUGCUUGAGAUAUAGAUAUAUAACAAAACC
rnacentral:lncRNA from 1 species